UCAAGGUUUCAGCGAGAUAAGAGUAUUUGUGUUCGUGCUGAUCACUCACCUUACAUCAGGUACCACAGAGCACGUCAGAAAGCCUGCCUGUGACAAGAUGGCCGCCGGUGAUGCCGGAAGUGACUGCGCCAUAAGACAUCUAGCCUUUAUAUAUGAUGUCUAUGGGUUUAACCUUCUGGUCAAUCGUCAGCGAAUAAAACGGGCAGAAACACUGGAACUAUUAUCACAUGGACUCAAUACAGUAGAGGUGCUAGCUUGUCUAAGGAACAUGGGAGACUCCAGAGCUCAUUAUGAAGCCCUAAAGAAAGAGCUAGAUGAAGAUUCCGUCUCCCCCAGUUGAAGUGUAC